GUCUACCAACAUCUUGAUUUGGCGAUUUUAUUCCACUCUUCCUUUGCAAAAAUGCUCCAGAUUUGUUACAUUUCAAGGGGGUCUCCUGUGCAUAGCCCUCUUCAAGCCAUUCCACAGGUCUUUGAUAGAAUUUAAAUCUGAGGUCUGACUGGGCCAUUCCAAAACCUUGAUCUUCUUCUUCUGAAGACAUUCCUUUGCUGACUUGGAUUUGUGUUUUGGGUUGUUAUUGUACUGGAAGGGGUGGACUGCAUUCAAAACACCUUGGUUGUGUAAUCCAGUGCUACCUCUGAUGCCACUCCCAGCAUAUUCCUGACGUUAUGAGUGUGCUACUGCUACUGACAGCAUGAUAAAUACUGACAGUGGAAGAGAAUUGGAGGAAGUCAUUCCUUUCUAAGAAAGACGAAAGAAAGGAGAUAAACUCACCAGUGUAGCAGAUGAAAGGGAAACUGGCGAAACAGUUUUCAUCUGUCCAUUGGCCGGAACGAUCCACAGCG